CUGACGGAAGCACCGUGACGUACGAUCGACCGACCGUAUCGUAUCUCACCACCCACUGUUACGAGCAAGGAGAACCGGGCUGAGGGGAGAAUGAACGUUGUGUAAUUCAGGGACACGAUGUCACAAUUCGUCAUACUCAACGAAUUUCUGAAGUACACCAUACUGGACGGUGACAAUCAACGAUACCGAUCCGACCAGGAGAAAAUUAGUCAUCGGCAUCACCUCGAGCGUUACUUCAGACUUUCACCUGAGAUCGUCGAAGAAAUAAGAAAGAAUAAG